GUAUGCGGAGUCACACAAGAUAUGGCAGUGCAAAUGCUGGCAAUGGAAAGAAUGUCCGGAACAGCCGGAUCUCUAAGUUGGCAGAUUAUCUUCGAAAUUUGGAGGAAAAUGAUAACGAGUUGGAUUUCCACCUCAUGCUUGUUUCUUUUGAUGAACAAAGACUACCUAGUUUACAGAGGCCGUACCUCUGCUGCAGGCCAACUUUGUCAGUCAAACACUUAUGUGAGUAUGUUGCUCUCCAGACUGCUCUGCCAGCAGAUGAAGUUGAGAUAUACCUGGUGAAAGAGUUGAAUUCUGUGUCUAAUUCUUCGACCCGCACAAGUCUAUCAAUUUCUAUGCCUAUUACAAUUGAUUCAUGCAAAGAUAAGUUGCAGGUUUUAGAGGACAAAGAAACUCUGGCAGGACUUAAAACCGGUAAUUUUACUCAAGGGCAUCUGCUUCUGGCAUAUCAGAGGAAGCUGUGGACGUCAAAACGGUGACAAGGUUGCCUGCGAUCUUUAUUGUUUUUACAGAAACGAAAGUAUAGAUAUAUAGAUACAUACUUGCAACAGGGAGUUGUCCUUUUCACAUGGCAUCCAUGGUCUAAACUGUCAGAUGCAUUAUAUUACAGAAAUGGUGGUAAUUUUUAUAGGUUUUGCACACAAAGAUUAAGCUAUAUAUAAUCUGAAAAAUGGUUGUCAGCC
rnacentral:misc_RNA from 1 species